UCCUUAUUUUUUUUUUCCUUUUUUUUUCUCUUUUUUUGUGUUGUGGGCAGGAUCGCUGGCAAGCAAGGACAAUUUUCCGUGGACCCCUUGUGCUAAUUGUGCAGUGUUCUUAUUGGAAUCUGUAUACAAGACAAAGUAGAAUUUUAGGAGUGCAAAAAAAAAAAAAAAGUCUAAUGGUUGAUUAAAAAAAAAAAAAGAAAUUCUGAUAUAUUAUCUAUAGUACAUGAAGACCAUAAGCAAAUGUUUGUUUCAGUGUGGUUCUGCCUUGAACUGCUUUUUGGCAUGAUUUAUUUUUUAUUUCCAAUUUUACUUUUCAUCCAUAUGUAAAUUUUGCCAUGUUUUACUUGCUGUACCAUCCCCCCUCCCUUAUUUUAUUUUUCAGUGUCCAUGUUUUAUAUAUCCUGGGCUUUUUCUCUCUAGUUAAUUCAGCCAUCCGCUACUAUUUUCUUGGCUCUGUAACUCUUGUUUCCCCCCCCUUCCCCAUCCUCCCCCCUGCACCCCCUGUAAUUUUAAACAUUCAGUUUCCUUGUAGAUCAAUGAAGAUAAAUACAACAUUGAUUUUGGAUGAAACAGGCGGUGGUGUGUUUGUGUGCAGUGGCUGGUGCUGCCCAACGGAGGCCGAUGGUCGGCGAUGGCGGCUCGGAGCCAGGGCUGGUGCUGGGAUUGGGGCUGAGUUUGGUCUGUGGGUCUCUGCUCCCCAUGCAAAGGGGGGAAAGGAUGGAAAAGAAGGGCCAGUGACUGUGGGAGGGCCACAGCCUGGAGCUGCUCUCGCGUGUAUCUCCAUUUGCUCCCUCAGCUCUUCCCGUAGGCUGAGAGCAGACAUCUAUGGGGCAUGGAGAGGCGCUCCGAGCCCUGCAGCCCUCAGGGGCUGAUUCAGCAGUGGGCAACUGCACUUCAACAGCAUGUUACAGCUUCUGUUCUUUAGUCUGUGUGUGACUAAAUCACCGGGCAUAAAAAAUAAAAUGAAAUAAAAUAGCGGGGUCCUGAAUGUGAUGAAAGGAGGCUUAAGACAAAAUAGGCAUUAAAAAUCAGCACCUGCUCUCCCAGCUGAAAUCGGAGGAACGUACAACACAUGGUGGAAGUGCAAAGUGUGCUGCAGUCGACGUAAAGACAUUAGUCAUGCUGCCGGCAGGGCUGUAACUCUCCCCCUCUGCCAUUGUCCAAUGCGCCAUCAUGCUUGACAUCACCUCUAAGGCAGACCUGACCAAAUCAGCCUCCCUAACCUCUAUUACAAAGAGUCCAUAGCUGCCUCGUCCCAGCACAGGCUGUCAGUGCGUGCUGCAGCAAAUCUGAGCCCCGUGGAAGCGUUCGGCCCAUGCAAGGUUUGGAAAGCAAGCAUUAAAUCAGUGCCGUGCCGCCGUGGCAUUCCUGAAGGAUUGCUUAUUGCAGCCGCAGCGGUGCCAGAGGAAUUCAUCAUGAUGUGGCAGUCUGAAUAUUAAAAGCAUGUCGGUGGUUUGCCAUUUGCUGUAUUAGGAGGCGUUGCUCUUACACUUUCAGAGGAUGACCAUCAGUAACGCUGCACCGCAGUGGGAUUCCGCUGGGCUGAGUAUCCGCCUUCUCACAAAACGGUUCAUCAUGAUUAAUGGUAUUAUUACCUAAACAGAGAAACUAAUUAAUUCGGCCCUAUUCCUUUAAGCUACCCCAGCUGAGCCUUCUUCUGUUCAAAAGGACUGUAGCAGAACUUCCUGGGGUUUAUGCAUUUCUACUGCCGUUGAGCUUUCAUUCUGUGCCCUUCUUACCAUUUUUAUUGUACUUUCAGACUUCUCCUGAGGGACUUCCCUCAGUCGUUGACAACUGGGGGGGUCACAGCAAGCGAAUGAUGGUGGGACAAAGGAUGGGAUUUGCGAAGUGCCUCAGGCAGCCUCUGCUUACAAGCAUGCUCAGGAGAGAACUGAGGGAUGGCAGCUCUUGCACUGCUGUGAGCAGUGUGCUGCUGGGGGUGUGAUGUGCACAUCUCCCUUCAGCUGCCAGGUACGGACCGGCCAUUGGAACAGGAAUACCCGGGAGAUCGUGGGGUGCAGGAAACGGUCUGUAAUGAAUCUUCAGAUGAUUUGUUAAAACGUACUGUUCUGGUUUGUUCCUUUGCUUGUUUUUGACAAAAGGAUCUUCUGGUUCCUUAGAUAGCAAGUUUUAUUGCCUAAAAUAAGCACCUGGGAAUUCCCAUUCCUGCAUUUAAGGAUCAAUAUUUGGGGUUAGCUGUGGGUGACCUGAGUUAGAGGAACAGAGCAUCGACAUAGGGGUACCCAGGGCUCCUCUGCCAACACAGGGCUGAUGCAGUGCCCUGCACAGAGGGUGAGAGGAUUUCAUUGUCUCCUUAAUGACUCAAUG
ensembl:lncRNA